rnacentral:rRNA from 1 species
UGGGGAAUAUUGCACAAUGGGCGAAAGCCUGAUGCAGCAACGCCGCGUGAGUGAUGAAGGCCUUCGGGUUGUAAAGCUCUGUCUUCUGGGACGAUAAUGACGGUACCAGAGGAGGAAGCCACGGCUAACUACGUGCCAGCAGCCGCGGUAAUACGUAGGUGGCAAGCGUUGUCCGGAUUUACUGGGCGUAAAGGAUGCGUAGGCGGAUAUUUAAGUGAGAUGUGAAAUUCCCGGGCUUAACUUGGGAGCUGCAUUUCAAACUGGGUAUCUAGAGUGUGGGAGAGGAAAGUGGAAUUCCUAGUGUAGCGGUGAAAUGCGUAGAGAUUAGGAAGAACCCCAGUGGCGAAGGCGACUUUCUGGACCAUAACUGACGCUGAGGCAUGAAAGCGUGGGGAGCAAACA